rnacentral:RNase_P_RNA from 1 species
CAAGCAGACCGCCUUAUCGCUGCCCCGUCCCGUUACAAUCGGGAGCGCGGGGUGGAGGAAAGUCCGGACACCAUAGGGCAGCAUAGUGGGUAACACCCACCGGCACUGAUGCAAAUCAGGGUCAGGACCAGUGCAACAGAAAGGAUGUACAGGUAAUGCUGUAGUGAAAUCAGGUAAACUCUAUGCGGUGCAAUGCCAUGUAUACCGGCUGUUAAGGAUUGCCCGUCCGUUGCCGGAGGGUAGGCAGCUAAAGGCUUUUGGUAACAAAAGUUUCAGAUAAAUGAUAAGGGCUCCUUUUGGAGAACAGAAUCCGGCUUACAGGUCUGCUUUUUUA